AUUGAACGCUGGCGGCAGGCCUAACACAUGCAAGUCGAACGAGUGGCGGACGGGUGAGUAAUGUCUGGGAAACUGCCCGCUGGAGGGGGGUAACUACAGGAAACGGUAGCUCAUAACGCAUACCAUAGGAUGUGCCCAGAUGGGAUAAGCUAGUAGGUGGGGUAACGGCUCACCUAGGCGACGAUCCCUAGCUGGUCUGAGAGGAUGACCAGCCACACGGGAACUGAGACACGGUCCCGACUCCGAGGGGAGGCAGCAGUGGGGAAUAUUGCACAAGGAGCGCAAGCCUGAGGCAGCCAGGCCGCGUGUAUGAAGAAGGCCUUCGGGUUGUAAAGUACUUUCAGCGAGGAGGCGUUACUCGCAGAAGAAGCACCGGCUAACUCCGUGCCAGCAGCCGCGGUAAUUC
rnacentral:rRNA from 1 species